GGAUAGACACGUCCGCGUCAAUGAACCAGCGCACCCAUCUGGGCACUACCUAUCUGGACAUAGCAAAAGGCGCUGUUGAGACUUUCAUGAAGCUUAGAGGCAGAGAUCCGGCGAGCCGAGGGGACCGGUAUAUGUUGAUAAAUUUUGAGGACGUUCCCCUCGGAAUCAAGGCUGGAUGGAAAGAGAGCCAUGCCACAUUCAUGACAGAGCUGAGGAACCUUCAAGCAGCAGGACUCACAACUAUUGGCCAGUCUUUGAGGACCGCUUUGAUUUGCUCA